GCAAGUAUUUAUUGGAAGGGCAGAAGAAACCAGGAAGAAAUCAGUUGUCAAGCCUUCUCUGGCUCUCCUUUCCCAAGAUUUCUCUGAGCUGGGGCCAAACAGCUCCUUCUGCAUCUCUCCAGGCCAGGGCUUGGAUGUGUUGCUGCCUGCAGCUCCUGUGAGCCUGGGAGAAGGGAGUGGGGAGUAACACAGACACAGUUUUGAUGGAAAAAUGUGCUUUGUGUGUUUAGCUUGGGAGGGGGGGUGUUAAUCAUUUGCAUGAGCUAUUUAGUUCUCAGAAUUAUUUCUCUGAAAUUCAUUAACAGGAUUUCUACUGCUGUUUUCUUUCUGGAAUGCUUCUUGAUGUUCUUAUGUCAGCCAGAGCUUUCUCCUCUGUUGCAGAUAAGAGCAAUGGCCAGAACAUGGAACUAUUCCUGUGAGUCAAGACUUCAGCAAUACCUUGAUAUUUGUGAAUUAUGCAGAAUUUGCUUAUAAUACACAGACUUAUCCAGCUCUAUUGCCUAGAGAAAAACACAUUUUAUCAUCACUAUUCAUGCCUUCCAUUCUUGACACCUCUUUGAAAGCACAAGAAGUGCUGCCUUGUGUAACAUUGUGGUCAUCCGCUCUAGGGAGAGAUUCCUGCUACAUUAUGAGUUGGUGGUAAGCCUUACUUUCUGGCAUAAUAAAAAUAGAUGGUCUGUCAAAAGAUGAUGUUCUCAAUGCUUUGUUUUGUAGUUCUAUCCUGCCAUCUUCUCUGAAUUAGCAAAUGUGAAAUGCAGCAUAUGGAUUUAUGAAAAGAAAAGUGCAAGAUGUGAAAUAUCCUGAGUAUCUGGAUCUUCGAACAUACGCAUCUCAAUCCGUUGGAGAACCACUCCUCUAUGCCUUAUAUGCAGUCCUGGUAUAUAGAGGUGUCAGUAGUCAUGCAGGACGUUAUUUCUGCUACACAAAGAAAGUGUGCAGUUCCUCUGAAGACAUGGCUGCUUUUAUUUGCAGGCUGCUGGUAGACUUUGAUAUGAGAUGAAUGAUGCCUCUGUAGUCUUUUGUGAAAUCAAAAUGGUUCUCAGUCAGCAAGCUUAUUUACUUUUUAAUAUCAGAAAUCAAGUCAUUUAAAUGGAAAUGAACCCCUAAAAGAAGAUCCAAAUACCAUUGCUGUUACCCUAGAAAGGCCUUCUUCGGCUCCACCAACAGCUUGUGUUCAAAACUAGGCAAUUACCAGGCCUUUAUUUGCUGAUCCCUCAGAAAAACAAAAGAUCACUUCAUAACAAACUGCCUGCACAUCAAACUGUCUCAGCCUGACUGUUUUAGCAGUGCUGUGGUGGAUGAGGAUCUA